GUUUUUUCGAGAAUAAUUUAAGAGAGGUUAGAAUUGUUCGAAAUAGAAUGUGUUAGAUAAAAGCAUUUAAAGUUAAAUAAAAGAUGAAAAAGACUCCAUAAUCUAAUUAUUUCCACGAAAGUUAGUGGUGAGAGCCUAUUCACAGCCUGGCCACGCACCUCAUCCGGUGGCAACGCCAUGCAAACCACUGACUAAAAGUAAAAUCAAGAAUUUGUUUGAAAACAACAAUAGAAUAUCCAGCAUACAAACAAUGUUUCGAUAUUACUCUGACUGAUUCUUCAAUAGUUCAAAUUGAUAUGUUUAAAGAGAUAUGCAAUAUACAAUAUUAUUCCGAAAUUUUCAUUAUUCUGAAAGAUAUAUAUAUUAACGAAGAUAUCCGAAAUGUCGCAUCAUCUUUUUGUUUCUAAAGGAGACGUUCAAAAGAAUAUUUAAUUAGAAAGAUAUAAUUUUAUUAAUACGAAUCGAUCAGAGGAUGUUGUAUUCCAUUGAUUGCAAGCUAAAUAAAUACCUACGUUUUUUAUUUCAAACAAAUCCGAGAAAAAAAGAAGAUAAUAGUUACAGUUUUAUAUCCAGUAACUACUACGUACAUUUAGCAGGAGCACAACACUUAAAAAAAACUGUAAAGGACAUCAAGAGGGAUAGAAUCAGAGCGUGCAGGAAAAUGGAAAGAAUACAUUCAUAAAAAAAUGUUUAUAUGAAUAUAGUAAAGACUAUAAGCAAAUUACGAGGUGUGGAUAUUAAAUAACCGGCGAAUAAUGUGGGUAAUUUAACACACAGAUAUUGGGUUUGACUAGAAACCUCUUGAUUCAAAGUGUGGAACGAGUUGACUCAUUGUACUGAUGAUGAAAAAGUAAUAACAAAUCAACUUCAACAUCUUCUCGGCUAUCUUGAAACCGCUUAAAGUACUCAAAAACUCGUAAUCGCGACAAACGUUUUUUGUCAUACACUUAAUAAAUGAUAAGUUUCAGUUGCAGAACUAAUAUGAGUUGAUCUGACCUUUAACAACACAUAAUGCUCCAUACUUGUCAGAAGAAUACAAAUAGGACCAUAUACGUGGAAUGCAAUAAAAAAGAAUUUUUGAAAUCGGCGGAAGGCUCCUUAAGACCGGCUAAAUACCGCUUUUCAAAAAUCUCUGAAGAAAUUGAUCUUAACACUAUCAGGGUCGCUAACCAAUAGAACAAUGUAACUACAUUGUAAAAAUUCCACAUCGGUUAACAGUCAAAAGGAAAAUAUGAAUGAAGUUAGCAGCAAAAUCGGGUCACACGUCAAGACGACAAUCCAGCCAGGUGCAACUAUAGGUCAAUUUCAAAAACACCAGCUAACAAAUCACUCCUCAAAACAACCUUUCAACGAACUGAACAACCAAAAAUCAAUAUCUGCAAAAUUUACAAAAUCUGCACGAAUAACUUAAUUCGUGAACAGUUAAUUGCCACGUCUGGCAAAUUUCGAAUAAUGCUUGCGUCCUUUAGACCGAGACUUAACCUCAAAAGAAAAUAAACCAAACAUUCAAUUUGUUUAUAUAAAAAUAGUUCAACAAAAGGACAAUUUAAACUGUGCUAAAUAACUUAAAUUCCAGGAACCCAGUAUGUCACCAACAAGUACAUACAAAACUACAAAAGAGGUAUGAAAAAUAAAAUGUAAUUAUUUCUACUCAAAGAUAAUAUGACAAAAUAUCUUAUAAAGAGAAUUAUUUACAAAAACAAAUUGGUAGGUUUAUUUCAUUUAAUGUUUAUAACAACAAAAGUAACGCAAGCUGUGAGCAGUGAAAACGUUACAAUUAAUUUUAUACAAAAUUAUAUGUAUAAGUAAAAUAUGUGCUUGAUUGUAAAUUUAAACCUUAUAUGAACUAAAAUAUCAGUUAAAUCUCAUAUAUUAAAAAAAGAAUAGAAUAGAAAGCAAUAUUCACUUUUUUUUAAAUAUCUAUUACAUAGUUGAUUACAAAGAAUUGCCAAUCCUUUCAAUGAUUACCAAUGAAUCAUCUUUUUAAGUAUUCUUAUUAUUAUUGCACCCUAGUCACGGAUUAUAUUUAUAAAUGAAUCAUAAACGUAUAUUAUUAAAAAAAACUCUUGAAUUAUUAUUAUCAAUAAUAAAAAACUUUUUUCUUCACUUAUAAUCACACUGCUUUCAGUUAUAUGGUGAAUAAGUUCAAAAUUUUUGAAGUAAUCAUUGAAGUCACGAAAAUCCGUUUUUUUUGUUUCUUUCUUUUUAUGUCCGAGAUGAAUUUGGCUGUUUGUCUUUUUUGUAUCAUUUGGGGAACUCUACGUUUGUUUAAUAUUAAAUUAUUUAAAAAUUUUAAUCAAGUAGAUUCUAGUAAACAUUGAUUUGAAGAGCCCAAUUAAAAAUUGUUUACGAACAGGAAAAAUACGAUAAUACACUAUUAUCGUCUCAUUAUAAUAAUUACAUAUUUGAUUGUUUCACGGAAUACCUAAUUAGAUAAAAUAUAUCAUUUAUUAAGGAAAAAUGAUUUGUUAGUUUGGUUAUAAUCGUUUAUUUAAAGCCAAUUGAUACAUAGGCACGGUCAAAUAAAAACAAAAAUGAUCAAAUCGAAUUAUUUACCACUUUUUGGAAUAUCUGUUAUAAAUUUCGAAAAACCGAUAUCACACAUUCUUCUUUUAUAUUUAUAUUGUAUGAAUAUAUUUAGUUUUUAAUUGGCCAUACCUCGUAUACUCGAACAAUUUUAAAUACUUAUCUGAUUACAGCGUAAUUGAGUAUCAAAAAUAAAAAUAUUUACCCAUGUCGAACACUAGAAAAAAUAAAAUAGAUAAUAGACAAAAAACCGUUUCGAUAACAAAAUUUAUAUAUAAUAAUUGAAAUAUUAUAAAUACUUACUUUGAGGCAUCUAUGAAGUAAAUUAUUAAAGAAGCUAUGCUCAGAAUGAAUACUAAGACAACCUGAAAAGAAAGUAAAAUAUUUUUGAUUCACUAAAUACAUAUAAAUAUAUACGAGGUCCGGUUAUUAAAUAACGAGAUUGCGCCCUAGACACGGGUGGGGUAAAAAACGGGUUGAAUUGAAACUGAGUACUAUAAAUCGUUGCAAGAGGUCUACGGGGACAAUUAUUUAUAUCGAGCGCGUGUUUUUGAGUGGUGUAAGCGCUCUAGUGUGAACCGAGAGAGCAAAUCAAAAUUCAAGGCACUGUUGAGCGUUUUAACGAUACCGUGAUUACUGAAUGGGUUCCAGAGGGUCAGACUAUUUGCCAAUAUCGCGUUGUCUAAAAAGCAGUAUUUGGUCAGAAGCGCAUUCCAAUCCAUUCGAAAGGCACCAGAUUUGAGUCGAUGGUAGCGGUAAAGCAAAAAAUUGCAGAGCUCCUGAAGAUCCUCACCAUCACUGCUUAGAUCGAUGGAAAAAACUAAUGUGCGGCGAGGGUAGGGGAGUAUAUCGAAGGGGAUCAUUCGAUUGUAAAAUAAUUUUUAUAAUAAAACCCUUUUUCGUAAACAAAUUCGUUAUUUAAUAACCGGACCUCGUAUAAUCCAUCAGUGUCGUAUAUACCUUUUUAACAUAACCCCGUACUCGACGAAAAUGAAAAAAAAAAUGAUUUAUUGUAUAAAAUAUUUAGAAGUUUAUUGAGUGUUGGAAAAAAAAAAUAGAGUAGCUUUGAAAUUAUAUCUUUAGACUAAACCCGGUCAUCCCGAAUCAACAACUGUCUCUUUAAAUUUUUUGGAUUAAAGCCAAGAAGUCACGUCGGUUCGUAGUAAUGACAUUAUAUAUUUCAGAGACAAGGAUAAUGGAUCGAAGCACAACAUCAACACACGACAAAAUUAUUCUAAACGCAUGCCUUCCUAAAAUAAAAUUAAAGAAAAAAAAUUUUGUUGUUCGCAAAAAAAUUAUAUAAAUAAAUUAUUUUAAAACGUUUUGUAAGUACGGAAAAAUGAUAUUUUUGAGUCGGGGAAUAAUUAUUAGUAGGUAUAAGUUGAAAAUGUAAAUAUAAUAAAGAAUUGAUCAAACAUUAGUUUUGUAAUUAUCGAUAAUUUCAUAUUAACAAUGUAAACAUAUUAUCUAAUUAAUUUACCGGGGGUAUAUUCUAUUUAUUUUUCAUUAAUGGGUACCCGGUAGGUAGAUACAGUCCUGUAAAUUGCAGCGAUUCUAUAUUUCAAGUGUAGUGACCUUUUGACAUGAUGACCCGAAAUGCAAUUUUAUAUAGGUACAUAACGA